GCGGGGAUAGCUCAGUUGGUAGAGCAUCAGCUUCCCAAGCUGAGGGUCGCGGGUUCGAGCCCCGUUCCCCGCU
rnacentral:tRNA from 1 species